GAUGAACGCUGGCGGCGUGCCUAAUACAUGCAAGUCGAGCGAACGGACGAGAAGCUUGCUUCUCUGAUGUUAGCGGCGGACGGGUGAGUAACACGUGGAUAACCUACCUAUAAGACUGGGAUAACUUCGGGAAACCGGAGCUAAUACCGGAUGAUAUUUUGAACCGCAUGGUUCAAAAGUGAAAGACGGUCUUGCUGUCACUUAUAGAUGGAUCCGCGCUGCAUUAGCUAGUUGGUAAGGUAACGGCUUACCAAGGCAACGAUGCAUAGCCGACCUGAGAGGGUGGUCGGCCACACGGGAACUGAGACAGGGUCCAGAGUCCUAAGGGAGGCAGCAGUAGGGAAUGGUAGGCAGUGGGCGAAAGCAUGACGGAGCAACGCCGAGUGAGUUAUGAAGGUGUUCGGAGCGUAAAACCCUGUUAUGAGGGAAGAACAUAUGUGUAAGGAAAUGUAGACAUCUUGACGGUACCUAAUCAGAAAGCCACGGCUAACUACGUG
rnacentral:rRNA from 1 species